ACUAAAAAAUUACCAUCGUUUAGGCAAUUCUGAAUAAAAAGUUGUUGUUGUUGGAAUCGUAUUAAAAAGGGAUGCCAAAACCAUCCAAAACAAUUUGUAAAAGCUUUUCAAUGGUGGCGAAAGUUAAUCGCAGUAGAAGAGUGGUAGAAGUUAACGUUUCAUAUUGGCAUUUUAAGGUGAUCAUGAUUCGAUUGGCCUUUUGCUUAAUGUUGUUAUUUUGAGUUCCGGUUAAUUUACUUCGAAAAUCGGUAUAAGAAUCAGAGUUCUCUGUGUUAGGAGUUCGACGGACAGUGUUUGCAUAUCAACAUCGCAGCGGGGUUCCGGACAGCGGGUUCGCCAUACGAAGCGGAAGUUGAUUCAUCCGGAACUGUUUUUUCGAUCUUCGUACAAAUCAACCAGUUUGAUUCGGUGCUGACCGUAAUUGAAAAAUUGAAAAGAUACCGAUGAGGAAAUGCGCUUCUCCUAUAUUCCAAUACCGAUGAACAUCCAAGGACAGAUUUUUAUCCAGUUUACCGCCACGAGUCUAUCGGGCUUGAUGAUGGAUCCGGAAGCUGAUUGCAUGAGGAUUGGUUCCGACGGAACCGGAUGAACAAUGACAAUCCGUCAAUGAUUGCCCAAGUGUUUUGGGUUUUAUUAUAUUUUACAUAUUUAUUGUAAAUUUGUUAUUCUGUUAUUUAGAAAUAAAGAA